GAUGAACGCUGGCGGCGUGCCUAACACAUGCAAGUCGAGCGAUUUACUUCGGUAAAGAGCGGCGGACGGGUGAGUAACGCGUGGGUAACCUGCCCUGUACACACGGAUAACAUACCGAAAGGUAUGCUAGUACGAGAUAAUAUGCUUUUAUCGCAUGGUAGAAGUAUCAAAGCUCCGGCGGUACAGGAUGGACCCGCGUCUGAUUAGCUAGUUGGUAAGGUAACGGCUUACCAAGGCGACGAUCAGUAGCCGACCUGAGAGGGUGAUCGGCCACAUUGGAACUGAGACACGGUCCAAACUCCUACGGGAGGCAGCAGUGGGGAAUAUUGCACAAUGGGCGAAAGCCUGAUGCAGCAACGCCGCGUGAGCGAUGAAGGCCUUCGGGUCGUAAAGCUCUGUCCUCAAGGAAGAUAAUGACGGUACUUGAGGAGGAAGCCCCGGCUAACUACGUGCCAGCAGCCGCGGUAAUACGUAGGGGGCUAGCGUUAUCCGGAAUUACUGGGCGUAAAGGGUGCGUAGGUGGUUUCUUAAGUCAGAGGUGAAAGGCUACGGCUCAACCGUAGUAAGCCUUUGAAACUGGGAAACUUGAGUGCAGGAGAGGAGAAUGGAAUUCCUAGUGUAGCGGUGAAAUGCGUAGAUAUUAGGAGGAACACCAGUUGCGAAGGCGGCUCUCUGGACUGUAACUGACACUGAGGCACGAAAGCGUGGGGAGCAA
rnacentral:rRNA from 1 species